AGCAGCCGCGGUAAUUCCAGCUCCAAUAGCGUAUAUUAAAGUUGUUGCAGUUAAAAAGCUCGUAGUUGAAUUUCGGGGUCAGCAGGUUGGUCGUGCCACUGGUAUGCACUGGCCUUUGCUGAUUCCUCCCUCUUGAUGAGCCGUAAUGUCAUUAAUUUGGUGUUGCGGGGAAUCAGGACUGUUACUUUGAAAAAAUUAGAGUGUUUAAAGCAAGCAAGCGCUUGAAUACAUUAGCAUGGAAUAAUGAAAUAGGACGUUUGAUCCUAUUUUGUUGGUUUCUAGGAUUGACGUAAUGAUUAAUAGGGAUAGUUGGGGGCAUUAGUACUCAAUUGUCAGAGGUGAAAUUCCUGGAUUUAUUGAAGACUGACUACUGCGAAAGCAUUUGCCAAGGAUGUUUUCAUUAAUCAAGAACGAAAGUUAGGGGAUCGAAGACGAUCAGAUACCGUCGUAGUCUUAACCAUAAACUAUGCCGACUAGGGAUCGGAUGAUGUUAAUUUUUUAAUGACUCA
rnacentral:rRNA from 1 species